rnacentral:tRNA from 1 species
CCUUUGAUAGCUCAGUGGAAGAGCAAGGACUGUAAAUCCUGAUGGCGCUGGUUUGAAUACAGUUCGAAGGU